CCAAUAGCGUAUAUUAAAGUUGUUGCAGUUAAAAAGCUCGUAGUUGAAUUUCGGGAUCAAUAUGUCGGUCGUGCCUUCGGUACGUACUGGCAUCAUUGGUUUCUCCCUUCUGACAAACCAUGAUGUCAUUAAUUUGGUGUUAUGGGGAGUUAGGACUGUUACUUUGAAAAAAUUAGAGUGUUUAAAGCAGGCUCACGCUUGAAUACAUUAGCAUGGAAUAAUGAAAUAGGACGUUUGAUUCUAUUUUGUUGGUUUCUAGGAUUGACGUAAUGAUUAAUAGGGAUAGUUGGGGGCAUUAGUAUUCAAUUGUCAGAGGUGAAAUUCUUGGAUUUAUUGAAGACUAACUACUGCGAAAGCAUUUGCCAAGGAUGUUUUCAUUAAUCAAGAACGAAAGUUAGGGGAUCGAAGACGAUCAGAUACCGUCGUAGUCUUAACCAUAAACUAUGCCGACUAGGGAUCGGAUGAUGUUAAUUUUUUAAUGACUCAUUCGGCGCCUUACG
rnacentral:rRNA from 1 species